CCUACGGGAGGCAGCAGUGGGGAAUAUUGCACAAUGGGGGAAACCCUGAUGCAGCAACGCCGCGUGAGUGAUGACGGCCUUCGGGUUUUAAAGCUCUGGCUUUAGGGACGAAAAUGACGGUGCCUGAGGAGGAAGACACGGCGAACUCCGUGCCAGAAGCCGCGGCCAUACGUAGGUGCAGAGCGUUGUCCGGAUUUACUGGGCGUAAGGGGAGCGUAGGCGGAGUUUUAAGUGAGAUGUGAAAUACUCGGGCUCAACUUGAGUGCUGCAUUUCAAACUGGAAGUCUAGAGUGCAGGAGAGGAAGAUGGAAUUCCUGGUGUAGCGGUGAAAUGCGUAGAGAUUAGGAAGAACACCAGUGGCGAAGGCGGUUCUCUGGACUGUAACUGACGCUGAGGCUCGAAAGCGUGGGGAGCAAACAGGAUUAGAUACCCGAGUAGUC
rnacentral:rRNA from 1 species